rnacentral:ncRNA from 1 species
UCCUAAGGGGUGGCAGUUACCAUUGCCUGAGAUGCGCUUGACGCGAACCCUUUGCACCUGAUCCGGCUAAUACCGGCGUAGGAAUAGGAAG